rnacentral:rRNA from 1 species
UACAACUCCCAAACCCCUGUGAACAUACCACUUGUUGCCUCGGCGGAUCAGCCCGCUCCCGGUAAAACGGGACGGCCCGCCAGAGGACCCCUAAACUCUGUUUCUAUAUGUAACUUCUGAGUAAAACCAUAAAUAAAUCAAAACUUUCAACAACGGAUCUCUUGGUUCUGGCAUCGAUGAAGAACGCAGCAAAAUGCGAUAAGUAAUGUGAAUUGCAGAAUUCAGUGAAUCAUCGAAUCUUUGAACGCACAUUGCGCCCGCCAGUAUUCUGGCGGGCAUGCCUGUUCGAGCGUCAUUUCAACCCUCAAGCACAGCUUGGUGUUGGGACUCGCGUUAAUUCGCGUUCCCCAAAUUGAUUGGCGGUCACGUCGAGCUUCCAUAGCGUAGUAGUAAAACCCUCGUUACUGGUAAUCGUCGCGGCCACGCCGUUAAACCCCAACUUCUGAAUGUUGACCUCGGAUCAGGUAGGAAUACCCGCUGAACUUAAGCAUAUCAUAAAACGGGAAGGAAAGGAUCUUUACCGAGUUUAAACUCCCAAACCCUGUAAACAUACAUUGGUGGCCGGGGGGAACACCCGCUUCGGUCAAACGGGGACGGCGCCGAGGACCCUAACUCUUUUUCUUUGUUUUAACUCUCGAGUUAAAACCAUAAAGUAAUUAAAACUUUUCAACACGGUAUCU